CCCAGGUCCUCACAGAGGUUAGACAAGCAUUCUACCCCUGAAUGGCUCCAUACGCAGCCAUCUAACACUGGGAUGCAAUGCUACAUCUAACUUGACAACCUUAACCAGGCUUUGGAAAGGAAAGUGCCCCCUAUCGCAGCUGCUCGCCCAUCUCCUUUGUGCCUGGUCGAUCCCUGAAAAAGGGACAACACAGUCAUUAGUCAUAAAAUUUGGUGAGUUCUUUUAAUCCAUCCAAACUGCAAAAAAAAAAAAGGCCGGCGUAGUGUCUCCAUUUAUACUUUCCUCUCAGAGACAAAAUAGAUGGCCCCAGGAAUUCCACCGCUCAUAAAACGCGCCACAAAAACGCUGCUAGACUCCCAGUGACUUAACCCCUUCCUUCUGUGGCCCAGGCCAACUUUUAAGGGCGUCCUCCCCGCGCCCCCGGCCCUCUUGCCCACUGUCUUCCCGAGGCCGCUUCCCGCCCCGCCGGGUGGCUCCCUAAUUCUGCACUCUCGUCGGAAGUUUCUGGGGGGUCACCUGGCAGAUCUCCACAGCUGACCCUCGGCCCUCCUCCGCCACCGGCACGGUCGUCCUUAAGAAGCUUCUGCGGCCACCAGGAGAGGCGGGUGUUUUGUUCUUAUAAGGAGGAAAAAGUUUCCGUGACAUCCAGGAAGUGAGUAACUCCGGAGCGCGGUAGAGCCCGCGGCUGGAGGCCAGGAGGCGAGAGCCAGCCGCAGUCCCGCCGCCCGCAUCCCCCGAGCCACUCGCCGCACUCGGUGGAGCCCGGGACCCCGACCCGUGCGACCAAGGCUGAACGUAAGUCCGGGGCCUGAAUGCGAGGCCGUGCUGACCCCCAGUCGCCCAGUGUGUUGGAAGAAAGGCGCGAUGGGGACCGGGACUCCUUGGAGCUGCGCCUGAGAUCGAGGACAGGCGAGGAGGCGCUCGGAGAUACCAGGCCAUUGAGCAGCACGGCAUGAUGGGACCCUCAUAGGCUUGAAAGACAGUCCUGAGAUCAAAUUCCAGCUCUGGGAUAUUGAGUGAGUGGCUUCACUGUUCUGUACCUCAGUUUCCUUAUCUAAAUGGAGAUAAGUGCCUGCCUCAGUGGUUUAAUGUAAGAAAAAUGCACAUAAAACAUUU
rnacentral:lncRNA from 1 species